GAUGAACGCUGGCGGCGUGCCUAACACAUGCAAGUCGAACGAAGCACCUUACCUGAUUCUUCGGAUGAAAGUUUGGUGACUGAGUGGCGGACGGGUGAGUAACGCGUGGGUAACCUGCCCUGUACAGGGGGAUAACAGCUGGAAACGGCUGCUAAUACCGCAUAAGCGCACGAGGAGACAUCUCCUUGUGUGAAAAACUCCGGUGGUACAGGAUGGGCCCGCGUCUGAUUAGCUGGUUGGCAGGGUAACGGCCUACCAAGGCAACGAUCAGUAGCCGGUCUGAGAGGAUGAACGGCCACAUUGGAACUGAGACACGGUCCAAACUCCUACGGGAGGCAGCAGUGGGGAAUAUUGCGCAAUGGGGGAAACCCUGAUGCAGCAACGCCGCGUGAGUGAAGAAGUAUUUCGGUAUGUAAAGCUCUAUCAGCAGGGAAGAUAAUGACGGUACCUGACUAAGAAGCUCCGGCUAAAUACGUG
rnacentral:rRNA from 1 species